rnacentral:rRNA from 1 species
GGCUUGUUGAUAAUGAUUUCAGGUCUGACCUGCCCAGUGAAAAUGAUUAAAUGGCCGCGGUAUAUUGACCGUGCAAAGGUAGCAUAGUCAUUAGUUUUUUAAUUGAAAGCUUGUAUGAAAGGUUUGAUGAGAAAAUUUCUGUCUCUGUGAAAAUUCAUUAGAAUUUUAUUUUUAAGUGAAAAAGCUUAAAUUUUUGUAGAAGACGAGAAGACCCUAUAGAGUUUUAUAUUAAGUUAGUUCUAGAUUUUUAGGUAAUGAAAGGUUUGGGGUUAGCAAGGUAUUUUAUUGGGGUGAUGGGAAAAUUUAUUGAACUUUUCUUUAUUGAAACAUUUGUUUAUGAGUCUAUGAUCCUAAAUAUUUAGAUUAUAAGAUAAAAUUACCUUAGGGAUAACAGCGUAAUCUUUCUUAGAGUUCUUAUCGAAAGAAGGGAUUGCGACCUCGAUGUUGGAUUAAAUUUUAUUGUUGGUGAAGAAGCUAAUAAAUUAGGUCUGUUCGACCUUUAAAAUUUUACAUGAUCUGAGUUUAAACCGGCGUGAG